rnacentral:rRNA from 1 species
UCGAAGGUGCGGGUAUCGAACAGGAUUAGAUACCCUGGUAGUCCGCACGGUAAACGAUGGAUGCCCGCUGUUGGCGAUAUAGUGUCAGCGGCCAAGCGAAAGCGUUAAGCAUCCCACCUGGGGAGUACGCCGGCAACGGUGAAACUCAAAGGAAUUGACGGGGGCCCGCACAAGCGGAGGAACAUGUGGUUUAAUUCGAUGAUACGCGAGGAACCUUACCCGGGCUUGAACUGCAGGAGAAGGAAACAGAGAUGUUGACGCCCUUCGAGGCUCCUGUGGAGGUGCUGCAUGGUUGUCGUCAGCUCGUGCCGUGAGGUGUCGGCUUAAGUGCCAUAACGAGCGCAACCCUUUUCGUCAGUUGCCAUCAGGUGAUGCUGGGCACUCUGGCGAUACUGCCACCGUAAGGUGUGAGGAAGGUGGGGAUGACGUCAAAUCAGCACGGCCCUUACGUCCGGGGCUACACACGUGUUACAAUGGGGAGUACAGAGAGUUGGUUGUACGCAAGUACGGUCUAAUCAUGAAAGCUCUCCUCAGUUCGGAUUGGGGUCUGCAACCCGACCCCAUGAAGCUGGAUUCGCUAGUAAUCGCGCAUCAGCCUGCG